GCAGGCACCGGACCAGAGACAACUCAGGACAGCUUUAUGUACCGUACCGAGAACGGAGUCAAGUCGCUGCUGUUGGACGAUGACAACUGUGACUGCUGGACAUCAUUGAACAUUGGGCAUGGAAUGUGUCAUGGCGGACAUAACUCUGCACACUCGCAAAACGGCCAAUACGGGGUGGAUGCUCUACAUGACCCGUACUGUAACGGACCAGUGCCCUCUAUCGGUCUGGAGUUGUACUUCAACAGGACCUAGACCCAUCUCAAGAGCAACGAUUAUGAUGAAACAGCAUGCUGAUCAGUGUGUCGCCAGUUUUCUGCUUCAAAAUAAGAUACAGCCACAAAAGUCACCAAAAAGUCAUGUGCGAAUCUAGUAUGAAGUAUUACUACACAAUAUGUGCGGAAAUACAUUUUUUAGACAACGGGUUUAGAAUAUGGGUGUCAUUAACACUGAAAUCCAUAUUUC